UUGAGUGAAGGUUUUCCGCAAAUCUUUACUCUCGGAAAGCUAGGAACUAGGGAACACAAAUAUUCUCGCUUUGAGAAAGUAUGACAUCGGGUCUAGAAUCUGUCAUAUUAUGAAGGUUGGCCACCCGCAUUUGUUGAGCUCAUCUCUCAGUUGACGUGUUUGACGAGAAAGAUGAGAAAGUUGCUAUUAUCUCUACAAAUGUAAUUAAUCCUGCCAUAUUCGAUCAAGCUCUGAGAAUUUUUAUUCCACAUGUACCGGCUGGAACAUCUGCUUGGCCAAGCAAAAUUUCUCAGCAACUUCUUUAUUCGGUGAAAUGAGACCAAGGUCAGAGGGACGAGUUCAAUGCCCAAUGGCUGUUUGAGAAAACAAAGGUUAUGGUAAAGUUUGAACCAAUUAGCCAAGCUGAUGGAAGUGCUUUGCACAUUGUUGAUCAUAUAAAUGGAAGACUUCCUGUUUUAUACCAUGUCCUUUGACUUAGAAUGUGUGCUUGCUUGUUGGUUUCCCAAACUAUUCUUAGUGUGAAUGCAUUGUUUCCUUCAAUUGGAUAAAUUCAUUUCGUGUUAGCCCAAUGGCUAUUGAUGGUUUCAAGGCAUCCCAAUAGCUAUGAUGGUUUUAAGGCAAUCUCGGUAUACAAGUUGAAUGUGGUGUUAAGUUUUGGUGAUGCGCAUUUGCAGCGGUGUUAAGUUUUGGUGGUGCAAGUACCUAUUAAAUCUACGUUUUUCC